CUGUACACACACUCUCUCUCUCUACAUACCAGUUCUUCUCUCUCUCUACAUACCAGUUCUGUUGUUUGAUUAUAAACCAAAACCACCAUCAUCAUCUCACCGUCAUCACCAACACCGUCGACCACCUACCCGAACCCUGUUGUUUGAUUAAUGGGCGAUUUCUUUAGAGAAAAUAAGAAUUGCGGGUUUAGGGUUUCUCAAUCAAGUCAAAUUGCAGAGUAUAAAACCACACACCAUACAUCGGCUGUUUCAGAUUCUGAACUUAAAAACCCUUUCGAGUAUUUAGGGGUUUUCAAUAAACUUGAUAUCGUCGAGAAUCACCGGGGUUUUGUGAGAAUUGCGAGUUUAAGGUUGAUAUUUGAUUUGUUUUGAAAUGAGCCAGUGGACCAUCUAACAAGCACCAACCAAGCUAUAAAUAAGAAACUAUACAAAUACAUGAAUCAAAAAAGAAUGGUGACUGCAGAUAACAUAUUCUUCCAAAAAAAAGUGUUUCUGUUUACUUUUCAAUACCAAUUGGUCUUCAACACCAUUUGACCCGAUUCAUCAGUCUCAAAAAGCCGACCCGCUAACUUAUCCCAGUUUUCUCUCCUUCUUGAUGACCCGAUCGGAGGAGUGUCUUCUGGAACAUUCCGGAAGGUCCCAUAUUCGCUGGGCGAGUAAGCUUCCGGAACUUCGAGUGCAACAGCCUUUGAUAAUGUUGCUUUGUGACAUUCCAGAAGGUC